rnacentral:rRNA from 1 species
UACGUAGGGUGCAAGCGUUAAUCGGAAUUACUGGGCGUAAAGCGUGCGCAGGCGGCUUUGCAAGACAGAUGUGAAAUCCCCGGGCUUAACCUGGGAACUGCAUUUGUGACUGCAUGGCUGGAGUGCGGCAGAGGGGGAUGGAAUUCCGCGUGUAGCAGUGAAAUGCGUAGAUAUCUGGAGGAACACCGGUGGCGAAGGCGGCAUCCUGGACCAAUACUGACACUGAGGAGCGAAGGCCAGGGGAGCAAACGGG